UUAUUAUGAGAGUUUGAUCCUGGCUCAGGACGAACGCUGGCGGCGUGCCUAAUACAUGCAAGUCGAACGCUUCUUUCCUCCCGAGUGCUUGCACUCAAUUGGAAAGAGGAGUGGCGGACGGGUGAGUAACACGUGGGUAACCUACCCAUCAGAGGGGGAUAACACUUGGAAACAGGUGCUAAUACCGCAUAACAGUUUAUGCCGCAUGGCAUAAGAGUGAAAGGCGCUUUCGGGUGUCGCUGAUGGAUGGACCCGCGG
rnacentral:rRNA from 1 species